rnacentral:rRNA from 1 species
AUUGAACGCUGGCGGCAUGCUUUACACAUGCAAGUCGAACGGUAACAGGCCGCAAGGUGCUGACGAGUGGCGAACGGGUGAGUAAUGCAUCGGAACGUGCCCAGUCGUGGGGGAUAACGCAGCGAAAGCUGCGCUAAUACCGCAUACGAUCUAUGGAUGAAAGCGGGGGACCGUAAGGCCUCGCGCGAUUGGGGCGGCCGAUGUCAGAUUAGGUAGUUGGUGGGGUAAAGGCCUACCAAGGCGACGAUCCAUAGCUGGUCUGAGAGGAUGAUCAGCCACAUGGGGACUGAGACACGGCCCAAACUCCUACGGGAGGCAGCAGUGGGGAAUAUUGGACAUGGGCGCAAGCCUGAUCCAGCCAUGCCGCGUGAGUGAUGAAGGCCUUAGGGUUGUAAACUGCUUUUGUACGGAACGAAACGGUCCUGGUUAAUACCCGGGGCUAAUGACGGUACCGUAAGAAUAAGCACCGGCUAACUACGUGCCAGCCGCCGCAGUAAGAC